rnacentral:rRNA from 1 species
GACGAACGCUGGCGGCGUGCUUAACACAUGCAAGUCGAACGGAAAGGCCCUGCUUUUGUGGGGUGCUCGAGUGGCGAACGGGUGAGUAACACGUGAGUAACCUGCCCUUGACUUUGGGAUAACUUCAGGAAACUGGGGCUAAUACCGGAUAGGAGCUCCUGCUGCAUGGUGGGGGUUGGAAAGUUUCGGCGGUUGGGGAUAGACUCGCGGCUUAUCAGCUUGUUGGUGGGGUAGUGGCUUACCAAGGCUUUGACGGGUAGCCGGCCUGAGAGGGUGACCGGCCACAUUGGGACUGAGAUACGGCCCAGACUCCUACGGGAGGCAGCAGUGGGGAAUAUUGCACAAUGGGCGGAAGCCUGAUGCAGCAACGCCACGUGCGGGAUGACGGCCUUCGGGUUGUAAACCGCUUUCGCCUGUGACGAAGCGUGAGUGACGGUAAUGGGUAAAGAAGCACCGGCUAACUACGUG